GGGUGGUAAUGCCGGAUGCUCCAGUUGGAUGCAUGUCCUUCUGGGAAAGAUUCAUCGGUAUGGGAUGGGGUCGCGUCCUAUCAGCUUGAUGGCGGGGUAACGGCCCACCAUGGCUUCGACGGGUAGCCGGCCUGAGAGGGCGACCGGCCACAUUGGGACUGAGAUACGGCCCAGACUCCUACGGGAGGCAGCAGUGGGGAAUAUUGCACAAUGGGCGCAAGCCUGAUGCAGCGACGCCGCGUGCGGGAUGACGGCCUUCGGGUUGUAAACCGCUUUUGACUGGGAGCAAGCCCUUCGGGGUGAGUGUACCUUUCGAAUAAGCACCGGCUAACUACGUGCCAGCAGCCGCGGUAAUACGUAGGGUGCAAGCGUUAUCCGGAAUUAUUGGGCGUAAAGGGCUCGUAGGCGGUUCGUCGCGUCCGGUGUGAAAGUCCAUCGCUUAACGGUGGAUCCGCGCCGGGUACGGGCGGGCUUGAGUGCGGUAGGGGAGACUGGAAUUCCCGGUGUAACGGUGGAAUGUGUAGAUAUCGGAAAAAAAAC
rnacentral:rRNA from 1 species